rnacentral:lncRNA from 1 species
GGUGGGCCUUUAGUCCCGGAAGGGCAGCACCGGCUCGGGAACCGGGACAACAGGCCCUUUCCGACCGGUGCUAAUGCCCGAACGUGUGGCAGUGAUAUUGAUGGAUUUGUGAUGUUUUAUUUCUAAUUUAAAUUACGAACACUGAUUCCACCAAAAAAAAUAUAAAAUAAAUUAUUAGAAAAAACCAAAAACAAAUAGCUACUGGCUAGCACCGAACCGGUAGUGAUGGCAACAGUAGCAGCUUGAGCUUGGAGCCGGUAGUGUUUCUAAACCUCUCACGGUCAGUUUGAGCCACAAGCCGACAGUGAUGGCAUGAGCAUCACUAUCAGCUUGAUCCAGCAGUGAUGUUUUGAGAAUCACUAUCGGCUCAAGCGACAAGUCCGUAGUGUUAGCUUGAGCAUAGUGUUAACUCAACUGACACUGCCGGCCGG